UCAGAUAUAUACAAUGCUAUGCUCAAACAAGUAACAGAUGUAUAAUGUAUAUACACAUCCAUAUCUGAUCAUAAAAUCCCAAUACCGAGUCUAAAGAACAUCCUAAUCCAGGAGGUUUGGAUGGCAACUUUCCAGAAUGUUUUUUUUUUCCUCCUGUCAGAAUGGGUACCUGAACCCUUGACUUGAUGAGCUGCCGCCCAAGCCCAGACAAGUUCGGGUCCACCAGGUCGUUCAACGCAGCAUCAGAUGCUGUCAAUCCAAAUUCUUAUUCCGCUUCUCCAAUCUACCGCUGCCUGCCGAAAGGUAGCCAACCGGAAUCCUCGACGCAGAAGAAACCUGAAAAAUUGCGUCUUGAAAGUAAGCAGUUCCCCCUUCAGAUCAGCAUAGAGGAGAGGAACAUCAUGAGCAUCGGAAAGGAGGACAAAAGAGGCCGGGGAAAAGAAGGGCGCAAACCAAUCAAGCCAAAAGGAAAGCAAGGCGACGAAGGAAUCAAGCAGCCACAGCCACGACCAUUGCUGCAACGCAUUCUCACUCCAAGAGGAGGCAGAAAAAAACACCCAGCUGAUGUAGACAUGCAUGAACAGCUUCAAUAAUGCUGGCAUCAGCAAGCAGGGGCCCUUUGCAAUAAGGUUGCCCGUCGAAAGGCUCCUCUUCUUUUAUGCCUUUUUGGCAAAGGAGAAUUCUUCGUCGUCGCGCACCAGCGUUACGCAAUUCACAAAAGAGUAGGUGCCCCCACUAGGCAUAAUAUAUUCCUCUUCAUUUUGUUUUGUUUUGCUUUGCUUUGCUUUGGAUCAGAUUAUUAUGCAGUGUAAUUUCCUCUUGCUUUUGGAAAGAUAUGGGCAAUGAUUGCAAAUAGUGGGACGACUUAGACUCGCUAAUUAGUAGACGACAUAGUAUUACAAAAUAAAACUCUUAACAGACUUAUGCCUUGUUUCUAGUCUUCGACUGA